rnacentral:ncRNA from 2 species
GCACGUUCUCAGGGCGGGGUGUAAUUCCCCACCGGCGGUAAUGGCGUACACAACACGCUAAGCCCGCGAGCGCUUGCCCGUACAGCAUUCCUUCACGUACGAACAAGGUCAGCAGAUCUGGUGUGAUUCCAGGGCCGACGGUUAUAGUCCGGAUAAAGAGAGAGCGGGA